rnacentral:rRNA from 1 species
AACGAACGCUGGCGGCAGGCUUAACACAUGCAAGUCGAACGCCCCGCAAGGGGAGUGGCAGACGGGUGAGUAACACGUGGGAACGUGCCCUAAGGUUUGGAAUAUUCCCGGGAAACUGGGAGCAAUACCAAAUGUGUGCGCAAGGAGAAAGAUUUAUCGCCUUAGGAUCGGCCCGCGUCAGAUUAGCUAGUUGGUGGGGUAAAAGCCUACCAAGGCGACGAUCUGUAGCUGGUCUGAGAGGACGACCAGCCACACUGGGACUGAGACACGGCCCAGACUCCUACGGGAGGCAGCAGUGGGGAAUCUUGGACAAUGGGCGCAAGCCUGAUCCAGCCAUGCCGCGUGGAUGAUGAAGGCCCUAGGGUUGUAAAAUCCUUUCGUUGGGGACGAUAAUGACGGUACCCAAAGAAGAAGCUCCGGCUAACUUCGUGCCAGCCGCCGCGGUAAAAC